rnacentral:rRNA from 1 species
GUAGGUGGCAAGCGUUGUCCGGAAUUAUUGGGCGUAAAGCGCGCGCAGGCGGUUCUUUAAGUCUGAUGUGAAAGCCCACGGGCUCAACCGUGGAGGGUCACUGGAAACUGGAGAACUUGAGUACAGAAGAGGAAAGCGGAAUUCCACGUGUAGCGGUGAAAUGCGUAGAGAUGUGGAGGAACACCAGUGGCGAAGGCGGCUUUCUGGUCUGUAACUGACGCUGAGGCGCGAAAGCGUGGGGAGCAAACAGGAUUAGAUACCCUGGUAGUCCACGCCGUAAACGAUGAGUGCUAAGUGUUAGGGGGUUUCCGCCCCUUAGUGCUGCAGCUAACGCAUUAAGCACUCCGCCUGGGGAGUACGGCCGCAAGGCUG